UUUCUCAAGCGAACAACUCAUUUUCUUCUUAUAUUUUGUCAGAUCUAACUUUUUUCAUGCGCUUUUUUACAGGAUUGCUACAUGUCUAAUAUGGUUCACUGCGACAGAUUUAACAUCAGGCUUCAAAUCAAGAUUUCAAA